rnacentral:lncRNA from 10 species
CUCUGACCUCAUGCUCACGGGAUGCGACCUGUGCAGCCCCUGGCCUUCGCUCUCUUAACGAGCCGCUCUGGCUGACAUAAAAAGCGCGAGAGGGCUUUUCUCCAUUGCAGAUGCUGUUCCCUUUGCCUGGAAUACUUGACCUUCUCAAGCGGGAUUAAUUCCUGGCAAUGAAACAAAAGCAAAAUUAUCCCAUUCCACAGUAGAUUCGGAUGAAAACUGGAAAUAAAAUCGGGUACAACUCCAAGAGGAGAUAUUGGAGAAGAACCAAGCUGGGUCUGCAAGGAACUGCAUACGAGAUGGCACACGUAUUUAUGCUGUCUCAAGGUCAUGACCAUGUUACCAUAUCAAGCUGAAAAUGUCACCACUAUCUGGACAGUUGGUCAUGUUUUAUUGGGAAUAUAUUUUUUUCCUCUCUGAAUCUAUUGUGAAUGCGCUGGUUGGCUGGGUUCAGUAAUAAAUAUGUGAGACCUUUCAUUUGAAAAAAUAAAAAUAAUAAUAAUUUGCAUUAUAUUUC